GAAAGAGGAAAAAAAAUACAAAAAAAAUUGUCAAUUUAAAAGAUUUUUUAAAAGGUGAAAAAGUUUGCUCUUGAAUCUGGGGAAAUUACUGUUCAGGAACCACAUAAUUAAAAAUAAUUGCAACGUGAGGGCAAAUUAGUAAAAAGAUGUCAGGUGCUAUCUUUAGUUUAUCUCCCGUGAGAAAGAGGCAUAGCCUCAUGGACUUAAAAAAAGAGAUAAUCUUAGACCUUAAGUUAGAGAGUAGAAGUUAGAAGCUGUUGGGAAAGCAGAAAGAUGUUCCUGAGACAUCACAGAAUUCUUCAGCAUUGCCAACCCUCAGGGAAACUGUGGGAGGCAACACCAAACAGCAAAUGGAGACCCUCAGAGGUAGAGGUCUCUCCCUGAAGUAGCAGAGACUCUUCCCACCCAAAGAUGGCAGCGCCAGAUUGGGGGUCUGGCUGGCAGCUUCUGCAAUCCUAAAGUCAUUAACAAUGGAAUUACAAUUCUGCCAAGAGGACUCCAAACCGCCCCCCUUCCUUUCCUUUCCCCUCUAGCUCUUGGGUCACUAAAUUGGAAUCGGUAACUACUUCAGCUUAAUGCUUCUGAGAAAGAUAUGCAUCCAACUGGAAUUUGAGAGCAUCCAAGAAGCAAAUCACACUCUUUCAAAGGGAAAUACAAGAAUAACAGCUCUCAUUUUUGUAUGAACAUAAUUAGUACUUUUCAUAAU
rnacentral:lncRNA from 1 species